GAUGAAGAACGCAGCGAAAUGCGAUACGUAAUGUGAAUUGCAAAUUCAGUGAAUCAUCGAGUCUUUGAACGCACAUUGCGCCCCCUGGUAUUCCGGGGGGCAUGCCUGUCCGAGCGUCAUUGCUGCCCUCAAGCACGGCUUGUGUGUUGGGCCCCGUCCUCCGAUCCCGGGGGACGGGCCCGAAAGGCAGCGGCGGCACCGCGUCCGGUCCUCGAGCGUAUGGGGCUUUGUCACCCGCUCUGUAGGCCCGGCCGGCGCUUGCCGAUCAACCCAAAUUUUUAUCCAGGUUGACCUCGGAUCAGGUAGGGAUGCCCGCUGAACUUAAGCAUAUCAAUAAGCGGAGGA
rnacentral:misc_RNA from 1 species